UUGGGGAACUGGCGGCGUGCNUACAAUGCNAGUCGAGCGAGAACUUAUGAAUGAAACUUCGGUCGAAUGAAUAAGUGGAAAGCGGCGGACGGGUGAGUAACGCGUAGGCAACCUGCCCUUAGCAGGGGGAUAGCCAUUGGAAACGAUGAUUAAAACCCCAUAAUACGGAUUUAUCACAUGUUGAAUUCGUCAAAGAUUUAUCGGCUAAGGAUGGGCCUGCGUCUGAUUAGGUAGUUGGUGAGGUAACGGCCCACCAAGCCUACGAUCAGUAGCCGACCUGAGAGGGUGAUCGGCCACAUUGGAACUGAGACACGGUCCAAACUCCUACGGGAGGCAGCAGUGGGGAAUAUUGCACAAUGGGCGAAAGCCUGAUGCAGCAACGCCGCGUGAAGGAUGAAGGUCUUCGGAUCGUAAACUUCUGUCCUUGGGGAAGAAAAGAUGACGGUACCCAUGGAGGAAGCCCCGGCUAACUACGUGCCAGCAGCCGCGGUAAU
rnacentral:rRNA from 1 species